GAGAGAGGCCCGCAGGCAACAAAAACUGCUAAUUUUUGCCCCCUUAGUUAAACCCCAAGGCUCACUCGCC
rnacentral:tRNA from 1 species